GCUUCCGUUGAAUGACGUGCUUGCACUGAUUUCAACAAUGAAGCGAGUGGCGAACUGGUGAGUAACACGUGGGGAAUCUGCCCAGAAGCAGGGGAUAACACUUGGAAACAGGUGCUAAUACCGUAUAACAACAAAAUCCGCAUGGAUUUUGUUUGAAAGGUGGCUUCGGCUAUCACUUCUGGAUGAUCCCGCGGCGUAUUAGUUAGUUGGUGAGGUAAAGGCCCACCAAGACGAUGAUACGUAGCCGACCUGAGAGGGUAAUCGGCCACAUUGGGACUGAGACACGGCCCAAACUCCUACGGGAGGCAGCAGUAGGGAAUCUUCCACAAUGGACGAAAGUCUGAUGGAGCAAUGCCGCGUGAGUGAAGAAGGGUUUCGGCUCGUAAAACUCUGUUGUUAAAGAAGAACACCUUUGAGAGUAACUGUUCAAGGGUUGACGGUAUUUAACCAGAAAGCCACGGCUAACUACGUGCCAGCAGCCGCGGUAAUACGUAGGUGGCAAGCGUUGUCCGGAUUUAUUGGGCGUAAAGCGAGCGCAGGCGGUUUUUUAAGUCUGAUGUGAAAGCCUUCG
rnacentral:rRNA from 1 species